AGUGAACGCUGGCGGUAGGCCUAACACAUGCAAGUCGAACGGCAGCACAGUAAGAGCUUGCUCUUACGGGUGGCGAGUGGCGGACGGGUGAGGAAUACAUCGGAAUCUACUUUUUCGUGGGGGAUAACGUAGGGAAACUUACGCUAAUACCGCAUACGACCUACGGGUGAAAGCAGGGGAUCUUCGGACCUUGCGCGAUUGAAUGAGCCGAUGUCGGAUUAGCUAGUUGGCGGGGUAAAGGCCCACCAAGGCGACGAUCCGUAGCUGGUCUGAGAGGAGGGUCAGCCACACUGGAACUGAGACACGGUCCAGACUCCUACGGGAGGCGGCGGUGGGGAAUAUUGGACAAAGGGCGCAAGCCUGAUCCAGCCAUACCGCGUGGGUGAAGAAGGCCUUCGGGUUGUAAAGCCCUUUUGUUGGGAAAGAAAAGCAGCAGGUUAAUACCCCGCUGUUCUGACGGUACCCAAAGAAUAAGCACCGGCUAACUUCGUG
rnacentral:rRNA from 1 species